CACAGCUGAACAGCACCAACUCUCAGGAUUCUUAGCAGAGCCUUUCUGUGGCCAGCAGCAAGGAUGCCUUAUGGGCCUGAGCCUUGAUUUUCACUGAGUUUUCCCCAGAGACCUGCUGAGGACCCAGUCUCCUACAAAGAGCAAGAGCUGCAGCUCUAACAGAGUCCACCAUGGAACCACUGGUGCCCAUCUCUGAACAAUGAUCAGGAGGCCCGGAAACACUCUUCCUGUGUCCCCAUGGAUAUGGCGUUCUGCCUCCUGAGUAACCUGAUGAGUCUGUACCAGAGGCCAACAGUGACAGAAGCACAAGGCGACUUCCAGCUUGGCAAGGAAGGGAAACGGUGUGGAGAACACAGGCGAAUACUCAAAGCACAUAGUAAGCAUUUACUCCGCACAACCCAGGAAAGUGCAAGAAAAAAUCCUGCGAACGAACAUUCCCGACCCGCCAUCUGGCUCACCGCACCCCGUCCUGCCCAGAUCCCGGACCCUGACAGCAAAGCCGCACCCGGAAGAGGGAGACCCCGACUCCCGCUCCUACGGGGACCCCCAGCCGCCUACCCCCUGAGGGGUGGACCCCCGACUCCCGCCAAGGGAGAUCUUCCGCAGGAGGGUCCUCGAACCCUGCACCCCAGGGAAGGACUCCACCCUCGAUACCCUGCCCAGAGAAGGGGACCCAAAACGAUCUCCGCCCGAGAAGGGGACCCUGACCCUGAGGAAGGGACUUCGACCCUGAUCCCCGCCCCGAAGAGGGGACCCCGACCUUGAUCCCCGCCCCAAUAGGGGACCUCGACCCCGAUCCCGAAACUGAGGAGGGAACCGACCCGACCUGCGCCCGCGCUCGCAGGCCCGCCCGGCGGCCUCGGACCGGGAGGAGCGACGCGGCGUCCGCGCG
rnacentral:lncRNA from 1 species